rnacentral:rRNA from 1 species
CGAAUGCUGACAUAAGUAACGAUAAAGCGGGUGAAAAGCCCGCUCGCCGGAAGACCAAGGGUUCCUGUCCAACGUUAAUCGGGGCAGGGUGAGUCGACCCCUAAGGCGAGGCCGAAAGGCGUAGUCGAUGGGAAACAGGUUAAUAUUCCUGUACUUGGUGUUACUGCGAAGGGGGGACGGAGAAGGCUAUGUUGGCCGGGCGACGGUUGUCCCGGUUUAAGCGUGUAGGCUGGUUUUCCAGGCAAAUCCGGAAAAUCAAGGCUGAGGCGUGAUGACGAGGCACUACGGUGCUGAAGCAACAAAUGCCCUGCUUCCAGGAAAAGCCUCUAAGCAUCAGGUAACAUCAAAUCGUACCCCAAACCGACACAGGUGGUCAGGUAGAGAAUACCAAGGCGCUUGAGAGAACUCGGGUGAAGGAACUAGGCAAAAUGGUGCCGUAACUUCGGGAGAAGGCACGCUGAUAUGUAGGUGAAGUCCCUCGCGGAUGGAGCUGAAAUCAGUCGAAGAUACCAGCUGGCUGCAACUGUUUAUUAAAAACACAGCACUGUGCAAACACGAAAGUGGACGUAUACGGUGUGACGCCUGCCCGGUGCCGGAAGGUUAAUUGAUGGGGUCAGCGCAAGCGAAGCUCUUGAUCGAAGCCCCGGUAAACGGCGGCCGUAACUAUAACGGUCCUAAGGUAGCGAAAUUCCUUGUCGGGUAAGUUCCGACCUGCACGAAUGGCGUAAUGAUGGCCAGGCUGUCUCCACCCGAGACUCAGUGAAAUUGAACUCGCUGUGAAGAUGCAGUGUACCCGCGGCAAGACGGAAAGACCCCGUGAACCUUUACUAUAGCUUGACACUGAACAUUGAGCCUUGAUGUGUAGGAUAGGUGGGAGGCUUUGAAGUGUGGACGCCAGUCUGCAUGGAGCCGACCUUGAAAUACCACCCUUUAAUGUUUGAUGUUCUAACGUUGACCCGUGAUCCGGGUUGCGGACAGUGUCUGGUGGGUAGUUUGACUGGGGCGGUCUCCUCCUAAAGAGUAACGGAGGAGCACGAAGGUUGGCUAAUCCUGGUCGGACAUCAGGAGGUUAGUGCAAUGGCAUAAGCCAGCUUGACUGCGAGCGUGACGGCGCGAGCAGGUGCGAAAGCAGGUCAUAGUGAUCCGGUGGUUCUGAAUGGAAGGGCCAUCGCUCAACGGAUAAAAGGUACUCCGGGGAUAACAGGCUGAUACCGCCCAAGAGUUCAUAUCGACGGCGGUGUUUGGCACCUCGAUGUCGGCUCAUCACAUCCUGGGGCUGAAGUAGGUCCCAAGGGUAUGGCUGUUCGCCAUUUAAAGUGGUACGCGAGCUGGGUUUAGAACGUCGUGAGACAGUUCGGUCCCUAUCUGCCGUGGGCGCUGGAGAACUGAGGGGGGCUGCUCCUAGUACGAGAGGACCGGAGUGGACGCAUCACUGGUGUUCGGGUUGUCAUGCCAAUGGCACUGCCCGGUAGCUAAAUGCGGAAGAGAUAAGUGCUGAAAGCAUCUAAGCACGAAACUUGCCCCGAGAUGAGUUCUCCCUGACCCUUUAAGGGUCCUGAAGGAACGUUGAAGACGACGACGUUGAUAGGCCGGGUGUGUAAGCGCAGCGAUGCGUUGAGCUAACCGGUACUAAUGAACCGUGAGGCUUAACCUU